UGGGGAAUCUUGCGCAAUGGGGGGAACCCUGACGCAGCGACGCCGCGUGCGGGACGGAGGCCUUCGGGUCGUAAACCGCUUUCAGCAGGGAAGAGUCAAGACUGUACCUGCAGAAGAAGCCCCGGCUAACUACGUGCCAGCAGCCGCGGUAAUACGUAGGGGGCGAGCGUUAUCCGGAUUCAUUGGGCGUAAAGCGCGCGUAGGCGGCCCGGCAGGCCGGGGGUCGAAGCGGGGGGCUCAACCCCCCGAAGCCCCCGGAACCGCCGCGGCUUGGGUCCGGUAGGGGAGGGUGGAACACCCGGUGUAGCGGUGGAAUGCGCAGAUAUCGGGUGGAACACCGGUGGCGAAGGCGGCCCUCUGGGCCGAGACCGACGCUGAGGCGCGAAAGCUGGGGGAGCGAACAGG
rnacentral:rRNA from 1 species